rnacentral:misc_RNA from 1 species
ACGUAAGUUUUAUCUCUCUAAGCAUUCUGGGUACAUUUUUGCCAACUUGUAAGAAAGAAAAUUCGCGGGUAUUGUCGAAGUAAACAUAAAUAUAAUGGCAGACAGUGAUGAUGAGUAUGAUAGACGCAGAGGGCGUGACAAGUUCAGACGAGAACGCAGUGACUAUCAAGAUAGAAGAGAUGAAAGAAACAGAAGAGAUGAAUGGUCAGACAGGUUUGUGAGAGAAUCUUGGCCAGGACGAGAGCGGGCCCGCAGAGAUUAUAGGGAUGGUUAUGACCCUCGUCGACGAGAACGGUAUAGUCCUCCACCUCGACAUGACAUGAGUCCACCAAUGAAACGAAUGAGGAGAGAAUGGGACGACCCACGAGGCUAUGGUGGAUAUGGAAUGGGUUAUCCAGGAGGUGUAGGAAUGAUGGGUGGUCCCCCUGGUGGGGGCUGGGGGGGUGGAAUGCCCCCAGAAGAUAUAGGAAUGAUGCAUGGACAACACGGGUACGGUGGCCACCCUGGACCCCCGAGAGAUGAACCUGGUGCAACACAGCCACCUAUGAUGACGUUCAAGCAGUUUUUAGCAGCUCAGGAUGAUAACAUUGGUGAUCAGGAAGCCAUUAAGAAGUAUAAUGAAUACAAACUUGACUUCAGGAGACAACAGAUUAAUGAGUUUUUUAUCAGCCACAAAGAAGAGGAAUGGUUUAAGUCUAAAUAUCAUCCUGAAGAAUGUGGUAAAAGAAGAGCAGAUCAAUUAUUUGCAUUGAAACGGCGUUUGGAUGUCUUUAAAGAGCUUUUCCAAAAAGGAUGGGUUGAUGCUGUUAGUAUAGAUGUAGAGAAGUCUGAUCAGAUUAUACGUUUACUUGAUGCAGUUGUGAUCAAACUUGAAGGAGGUUCCGACAAUGACUUAAAUGUUUUGGAUGAACCUUAUGAAGAAGAAGAGAAACCCAAAGAACCAGAGCCUUUCAUUUUGGGUGACAGUGACAUCAAAGAGGAGAAAGAUAAAGAAGAAAAGGAUCUUUCUAAGCCAUUACAGAUGACCAUCUCAUCUGAACAGAAAGAACUACAGAAAAAAGCUAAGGAGUAUUUGAAGAAUAAGCAGAAGAAGAGAACAGAUGAAAAGAAAAGAAAGCGAUCACUUGACUCUUAUAGUUUUGAUGAAGAUGAGGAAGAUAGCAGUGAAGAAACGGGAAGCGAAUCAGAACCAGCCCCACCAGGUCUUGAAGAUGAAGCCACUGCAGAACAGGGAGACACCAAGGCUAAACCAAAGAAGAAGAAAACGAAAAAAAAAGUAGAUCCUAAAUACAGUUCUGAAAGCAGUUUAAGUAAAGAUGAGGAUGAAGAUGAGUUGGAAGAGAAUGAGAAAAGAGUAGAAAAACCAGGUGACAAACAAGGUAGUCCCGAAGCAGAACAAAUUGAGGAUAACCAAGAUAAUGAUAAAAAUGAAGAUGGAAGUUUAAAUGAAGAAGAAGAGGAGAAGAAACCUGAAGAUGAAGUGGAAAGCAAGAAAGAUGAACCAGCAAAGGAUGAUGGACCUCCAAAACCAAGACCUCUUCAUAAAACAUGUUCCAUUUUUCUUAGAAACUUAGCUCCUACAAUAACAAAGCAAGAAGUAGAAGCUAUGUGCAGAAGGUACCCAGGUUUUCUUCGAGUGGCUAUUGCAGAUCCACAGCCUGAUCGGCGUUUUUUUAGGAGGGGGUGGGUAACAUUUGAGAGGUCAGUGAAUAUCAAAGAAAUCUGCUGGAACCUCAACAACAUUCGGCUUCGUGACUGCGAAUUGGGGGCUAUUGUUAAUCGAGAUCUAAGUAGAAGGAUUCGUUCUGUGAAUGGAAUAGCUUCUCAUAAGCAAGUGGUUCGAUCAGACAUCAAGCUAGCUGCCAGAAUCAUCCAGAACUUAGAUGGUCAAAGAAACCUGUGGGAUGAAGGGGAACUCAAAGAAGAGCCUGAAAAACCAACAUUUGGUCUUGCAUCCAAAAACCCAUUGCUAAAGAACAUCACAGACUACCUGAUUGAAGAAGCAAGUGCUGAGGAGGAAGAACUACUAGGGACAUCUGGACAAGAUGAGAGACGAGAUCAAGAAGAGGGAGGUUCUACAUUGGAGAGAGAUGACACAUUGAUUAAGGUAUUGGAUCGAUUGCUGCUCUACUUGAGAGUGGUUCACUCAAUGGACUACUAUAACCACAGUGAGUAUCCUAGUGAAGAUGAAAUGCCCAACAGAUGUGGAAUCAUGCACGCCAGAGGCUCGCCACCUUCCAGUAAAGUCACACAACAAGAAAUUAUUGAAUACAUUAACAGCUUUGAACAAAGAGUAACACCGUAUCUUCAACCUGCUAUCAAAAUAUCUGAUGAAGAAUCUGCAAAAUUAGGCAAAAAAGACCCAGAAGCUGAAGUUGAGAAGUUUGUGCAGUCUAACACCCAAGAACUUGCUAAGGAUAAGUGGCUCUGCCCAUUGUCAGGGAAGAAGUUUAAAGGGCCAGAGUUUGUGCGCAAACACAUAUUUAACAAACAUGCUGAGAAGGUGGAUGAAGUAAGGAGAGAAGUGGAAUACUUCAACAAUUACCUUUUAGAUAUCAAGCGACCCCAGCUUCCUGAACACCCGUCCAAUAGGCCUAGUGGAGGGGGUAAUCGGGGGGAAGGUCAUGGAGGACCAUAUCAUGGUGGAGGAUACCCUGGUCCUCCCCCUUUUGGUGGCUAUGGGGGUCCCAGGGGCCCAGGCUUUCAUGGUGGCUAUGGUGGGCCUGGAUUUGGAGGAAGGAGUGGUUACUCUGAAAUGUACAGACAUUCUGGAGGCUUCAAGAGAAACUAUGGACGUGGACAGUCUGAUCCCAGGGAAGUUGUUGGCUAUCAUGAUCUGGACGCACCUCCCGACCUGGAAAUAUUCUAAAAAAUCGCCAUUACUCAAAGCUCGAGUGGUCCGAGUGUUUUUUUACUCAACAUCCAACUAUUUAUAUGACCAGCCAUCAAUAUGAGCUACUUGAUGAUAAGAAGUCCUCGCUCAGAACCAAGAAAAAUCAUCACAUACAGAGACCUUGAUGCACCAACAGAUGCUGACAUCUUGUAGUGAUUGAUAAUCAACUUAAUUCAUUUAUUAUUCUCAUUUCUUAUUUGCUUUUUUAAUAAAAAUCAUCAGAAUCAUCACCAAAUAGCACAGACAUCCCACUGAAAUUGUUUCAAAAAGGUAUUAAAAUUGUUUAGAUAACCAC